UACAGAGGUCUCAAGCGUUGUUCGGAUUCAUUGGGCGUAAAGGGUGCGUAGGUGGCGCUGUAAGUCGGGUGUGAAAUUUCGGAGCUUAACUCCGAACUGCAUUCGAUACUGCGGUGCUUGAGGACUGGAGAGGAGACUGGAAUUCAUGGUGUAGCAGUGAAAUGCGUAGAUAUCAGGAGGAACACCGGUGGCGAAGGCGGGUCUCUGGGCCGUAACUGACGCUGGAGG
rnacentral:rRNA from 1 species